UUGAAGAGUUUGAUCAUGGCUCAGAUUGAACGCUGGCGGCAGGCCUAACACAUGCAAGUCGAGCGGUAGCACAGAGAGCUUGCUCUCGGGUGACGAGCGGCGGACGGGUGAGUAAUGUCUGGGAAACUGCCUGAUGGAGGGGGAUAACUACUGGAAACGGUAGCUAAUACCGCAUAACGUCGCAAGACCAAAGUGGGGGACCUUCGGGCCUCAUGCCAUCAGAUGUGCCCAGAUGGGAUUAGCUAGUAGGUGGGGUAACGGCUCACCUAGGCGACGAUCCCUAGCUGGUCUGAGAGGAUGACCAGCCACACUGGAACUGAGACACGGUCCAGACUCCUACGGGAGGCAGCAGUGGGGAAUAUUGCACAAUGGGCGCAAGCCUGAUGCAGCCAUGCCGCGUGUGUGAAGAAGGCCUUCGGGUUGUAAAGCACUUUCAGCGGGGAGGAAGGCGAUAAGGUUAAUAACCUUGUCGAUUGACGUUACCCGCAGAAGAAGCACCGGCUAACUCCGUGCCAGCAGCCGCGGUAAUACGGAGGGUGCAAGCGUUAAUCGGAAUUACUGGGCGUAAAGCGCACGCAGGCGGUCUGUCAAGUCGGAUGUGAAAUCCCCGGGCUCAACCUGGGAACUGCAUUCGAAACUGGCAGGCUAGAGUCUUGUAGAGGGGGGUAGAAUUCCAGGUGUAGCGGUGAAAUGCGUAGAGAUCUGGAGGAAUACCGGUGGCGAAGGCGGCCCCCUGGACAAAGACUGACGCUCAGGUGCGAAAGCGUGGGGAGCAAACAGGAUUAGAUACCCUGGUAGUCCACGCCGUAAACGAUGUCGAUUUGGAGGUUGUGCCCUUGAGGCGUGGCUUCCGGAGCUAACGCGUUAAAUCGACCGCCUGGGGAGUACGGCCGCAAGGUUAAAACUCAAAUGAAUUGACGGGGGCCCGCACAAGCGGUGGAGCAUGUGGUUUAAUUCGAUGCAACGCGAAGAACCUUACCUGGUCUUGACAUCCACAGAACUUAGCAGAGAUGCUUUGGUGCCUUCGGGAACUGUGAGACAGGUGCUGCAUGGCUGUCGUCAGCUCGUGUUGUGAAAUGUUGGGUUAAGUCCCGCAACGAGCGCAACCCUUAUCCUUUGUUGCCAGCGGUCCGGCCGGGAACUCAAAGGAGACUGCCAGUGAUAAACUGGAGGAAGGUGGGGAUGACGUCAAGUCAUCAUGGCCCUUACGACCAGGGCUACACACGUGCUACAAUGGCAUAUACAAAGAGAAGCGACCUCGCGAGAGCAAGCGGACCUCAUAAAGUAUGUCGUAGUCCGGAUUGGAGUCUGCAACUCGACUCCAUGAAGUCGGAAUCGCUAGUAAUCGUAGAUCAGAAUGCUACGGUGAAUACGUUCCCGGGCCUUGUACACACCGCCCGUCACACCAUGGGAGUGGGUUGCAAAAGAAGUAGGUAGCUUAACCUUCGGGAGGGCGCUUACCACUUUGUGAUUCAUGACUGGGGUGAAGUCGUAACAAGGUAACCGUAGGGGAACCUGCGGUUGGAUCACCUCCUU
rnacentral:rRNA from 2 species